AGACCCUGGUGGGGGAGAUACCAUGAUCACGAAGGUGGUUUUCUCAGGGCGAGAUUUAUCCAUUGCACUCUGGAUGUGCUGACCCCUGCAAUUUCCCCAAAUGUGGGAAACUUGACUGCAUAAUUUGUAGUAGUGGGGGACUGCGUUCGCGCUUUUCCCUG
ensembl:snRNA U1 U1 spliceosomal RNA